rnacentral:rRNA from 1 species
CCUACGGGAGGCAGCAGUGGGGAAUAUUGGGCAAUGGGCGCAAGCCUGACCCAGCAACGCCGCGUGAAGGAAGAAGGUUUUCGGAUUGUAAACUUCUUUUGUCAGGGACGAAACAAGUGACGGUCCCUGACGAAUAAGCCACCUCUAAAUACGUGCCAGCACCCGCGGUAAUACGUAGGUGGCAAGCGUUCUCCGGAUUUAGUGGGUGUAAAGGGCGUGUAGGCGGGGAAGCAAGUCAGGUGUGAAACCCCGGGGCUCAACCUGGGGACUGCAUUUGAAACUUUUUUUCUUGAGUGCUGGAGAGGUAAGUGGAAUUCCUAGUGUAGCGGUGAAAUGCGUAGAUAUUAGGAGGAACACCAGUGGCGAAGGCGGCUUACUGGACAGUAACUGACGUUGAGGCACGAAAGCGUGGGGAGCAAACAGGAUUAGAUACCCUGGUAGUC